rnacentral:ncRNA from 1 species
GAUUUGUCGAUGAUGAGGAGCAGUAGGCAGGUGGCGUUUCCAAGAGAGCCGGCGGUUGGUGAAAGUCGGUAACGGACCCUGAACGAACUCGCCUCGGAGAUAUGCGGGCAGACGACGGUACAUUCGUUUUCGAACCAAGACGUCCAGACGCAUCGGGUUAUCCCCGUUAUCGGAUAUUUGAGUGAGCGGCUUGUCCGCUAAUCAGGGUGGUACCACGGGAAGCAAUGCCUCUCGUCCCUGGC